AGAACUAAUGACCCGAUGGGUGGAAUGAUAGGGUAACGCCUUGAAACGCCCACACUGAUACUCCGACUGGCGCUGAUGAAGCAAAUAAAUCUGUGUCAGAAGCUCGGUAAAGUCGGCAGAGAGCAACCGUAAAUCAUAAUCAAUGAUACGAAACCUGUCCAGAGGUGGACGGCGUUGCCUAUAUGCCGGGUGUCU
rnacentral:ncRNA from 1 species